rnacentral:rRNA from 1 species
GAUGAACGCUGGCGGCGUGCCUAAUACAUGCAAGUCGAGCGCAGGAAGCUCACGGAACUCUUCGGAGGGAAGUGAAGGGAAUGAGCGGCGGACGGGUGAGUAACACGUAAGGAACCUGCCCCAAGGAUUGGGAUAACUCCGAGAAAUCGGAGCUAAUACCGAAUAGUUCUUCAGACCGCAUGGUCUGAUGAUGAAAGGCGCUCUGGCGUCACCUUGGGAUGGCCUUGCGGUGCAUUAGCUAGUUGGUGGUGUAAUGGCCCACCAAGGCGACGAUGCAUAGCCGACCUGAGAGGGUGAUCGGCCACACUGGGACUGAGACACGGCCCAGACACCUACGGGUGCUG